rnacentral:lncRNA from 1 species
AUAGAACAGGAGAAUCUUGUGGGUCCUUGUUGGCCGUGUGGCCCAGUGACACCCAGCCCAUGUUCUCAUUAGAGUUCCUCACCCUGCCAGGCCCACGCUCGUAUAUUUCUUUCACCUGUUUCCUUAUGCCCUGUCCUACCACUGUGUUGUUCCUCUGUUAGCCAAGACCUAGAAUACCAGGCUCUUCGUUGGAGACUCAUUACAGCUUAUCUCUGUCUGCCUUUCUUUAAAGCCAGCUGAACAUACCCAAUGCUCUCCCUCUAUGAGUGCAGAGGAGAACUCCCGCAUCUCCAUCACCUUCUUCCG